AUGCACGCUGGCGGCGUGCCUAAUCCAUGCAAGUCGAGCGAACGGACGAGAAGCUUGCUUCUCUGAUGUUAGCGGCGGACGGGUGAGUAACACGUGGAUAACCUACCUAUAAGACUGGGAUAACUUCGGGAAACCGGAGCUAAUACCGGAUAAUAUUUUGAACCGCAUGGUUCAAAAGUGAAAGACGGUCUUGCUGUCACUUAUAGAUGGAUCCGCGCUGCAUUAGCUAGUUGGUAAGGUAACGGCUUACCAAGGCAACGAUGCAUAGCCGACCUGAGAGGGUGAUCGGCCACACUGGAACUGAGACACGGUCCAGACUCCUACGGGAGGCAGCAGUAGGGAAUCUUCCGCAAUGGGCGAAAGCCUGACGGAGCAAUGCCGCGUGAGUGAUGAAGGUCUUCGGAUCGUAAAACUCUGUUAUUAGGGAAGAACAUAUGUGUAAGUAACUGUGCACAUCCUGACGGUACCUAAUCAGAAAGCCACGGCUAACUACGUG
rnacentral:rRNA from 1 species